GAAAUGCGAUAAGUAAUGUGAAUUGCAGAAUUCAGUGAAUCAUCGAAUCUUUGAACGCACAUUGCGCUCGCCAGUAUUCUGGCGAGCAUGCCUGUUCGAGCGUCAUUUCAACCAUCAAGCUCUGCUUGCGUUGGGGAUCCGCGGCUGCCCGCGGUCCCUCAAAAACAGUGGCGGGCUCGCUAGUCACACCGAGCGUAGUAACUCUACAUCGCUAUGGUCGUGCGGCGGGUUCUUGCCGUAAAACCCCCAAUUUCUAAGGUUGACCUCGGAUCAGGUAGGAAUCCCCGCUGAACUUAAGC
rnacentral:misc_RNA from 1 species